rnacentral:SRP_RNA from 1 species
CUGAUGGAUUCGUGCAAUGGUCUGCCUUAUGAAUCUCGUCAGGACCGGAAGGUAGCAGCGAUAAAUGAGUAACGCAUGUGAUACGGUUCUCUGUCAGGUG